rnacentral:rRNA from 1 species
CCUACGGGAGGCAGCAGUGAGGAAUAUUGGUCAAUGGGCGAGAGCCUGAACCAGCCAAGUCGCGUGAAGGAUGACGGCCCUACGGGUUGUAAACUUCUUUUGUCAGGGAGCAAGGGGGGCCACGCGUGGGCUUAGCGAGAGGACCUGAAGAAAAAGCAGCGGCUAACUCCGGGCCAGCAGCCGCGGUAAUACGGAGGAUGCGAGCGUUAUCCGGAUUUAUUGGGUUUAAAGGGUGCGUAGGCGGAAUAUCAAGUCAGCGGUAAAAAUUCGGGGCUCAACCCCGUCGUUCCGUUGAAACUGCUGUUCUUGCGUGGGCGAGACGUAUGCGGAAUGCGUGGUGUAGCGGUGACAUGCAUAGCUAUCACGCAGAACUCCGAUUGCGAAGGCAGCAUCCCGGCGCCCAUCUGACGCUGCCGCACGAAAGCGUGGGUAUCGAACAGGCUUAGAUACCCGAGUAGUC